rnacentral:rRNA from 1 species
CCGCGGUAAUACGAACCGUCCAAACGUUAUUCGGAAUUACUGGGCUUAAAGGGUGCGUAGGCGGCCCGGGAAGUUGGGUGUGAAAGCCCUCGGCUCAACCGAGGAACUGCGCCCAAAACUGCCGGGCUCGAGGGAGAUAGAGGUGAGCGGAACUUAGGGUGGAGCGGUGAAAUGCGUUGAUAUCCUAAGGAACACCGGUGGCGAAAGCGGCUCACUGGGUCUCUUCUGACGCUGAGGCACGAAAGCUAGGGUAGCGAACGG